ACCUCGGUAGUUCAGCGGUCAGAGCAGCAGGGCGUAAACCUGAAAGACCUGAGUUCAUAUCCCAAUCGAGGUC